rnacentral:lncRNA from 1 species
GGCCCAUCUUCCUUGGGUACUGAAGCUCGCGAGAGGAUCCUGGGGGCAGGCGCGUCGCGGUGGCAGUGUUUCUUGGGUGUGCGGGGCCGGGCGCCCCGUAGCCUCUGGUCUGCAUGGGGAUUACAGGUGUUUGGCAAGUGGCAUGGCAGAACAGAGAAUCUAGAUUCAGGACCUGGACUUGGAUAUAAGCUGUCACUUGUUACUUGGCCUUGCACUAAAUGACCAUUCUCAGGACAAGUUCAGCAACCCUAAAGGCAAACUGGCCUAGGGCCUGGGAAGUGGAGAAUGCCUAUUCCUAGGCUAACCCAAGCAUUAGAGAAGCAUCAGGCCGCCAUUCUAGACUCAACUGCUCACCUCCUCUGAUCCACUGAGGUGUCUCUGGAAAUCCUCCACCACAGCCACAGCCUCCUCACCACUCUCAGGGUGAUGCAGCUGCACCCAGGUCCGGAGCUCCCCAGGGAGGAUGCUCAGGAACUGCUCAAGCACCAGCAGCUCCAGGAUCUGCUCCUUGGUGUGCACCUCUGGCAUGAGCCACCAGCGGCAGAGCUCCCGAAGCCGGCUCAAUGCUUCCUGCGGCCCAGACAUCUCGUGGUAACACAAUUGCCUGAAGUGUAGCCGGAAGAUUUCGCAGACAGGAGGAUAGUUCUUCUGGAGACUGCUGCCCUGCCCCCAGGUCUGGUUUGCUGGCUCCUGCUUCACAGUCAGGCGCCCCUCUUGCUUCUGGAAAGCAGUGCUCCUGGGGAUGAGGCCUAAAUUUCCCCUGCCUGCAGUGGUCAUUGUGACCCCAAAGAGAAGCUUGUUACAGCUGCAGUUGGUCCGAUUAAAAUGAUGGUCAAUA